GUGCCGCGUGGGGAGGCUGCGUGGGGAGGGCCAGCGGGCUGCGGGCAGCUUCUCCUCCUCUAGGACCCCCGCCCCCUGUUCCCGAGCAGCAGGCUGCACAGGUGCGGCAGGCAGGGCUCUGAGCAGGGUGGGGGACCUGCCCGUCCGCCUCUGGGGGGCCUGCGGGGUGGCCGGACUUACUCGGGUAGCGGUAGUAGAAUUCGUUCUCCAUGUCGCUGGUGGUGUUCUCAUCCCCCUGACUGCCGAUCCAGUGGGGGUCGGCAUCGAGGUCGUAGCGCACGAACACGCCGAAGAGGACCACCAGGGCCACCUGCAGGAGCAGGCAGGUGACCGGCAGCCGCCAGCGCAGAUUGGUGUUCCAGAUCAUGCUGCAGGGGGCGCCUGGCCGGGAGGGCAGCGGGCAGUUCGGCCGUCGGGAGGCGGAGGGAGAGGCUUAUAAGACCCGGGCAGGGGCGGGGCGGCCGCGUGGGGUGGCGGAACAGCUGACCCGGGUGCCGCCCGCGCGCUCGCCCAACCGGCAAGGGGAGCCUCGGGCUCGGGGCUCGCCUGCCCUCGGGAGCCCCCGCAGCUCCCGGCGUCGGGACCGGGGGCACAGCGGCAGGGGGCGGGGGCGGUGGGCAGGGACCCAGGAGCCCCGACCUCUGCGCAUCCCAUCGGUACCGCGCAGCGUGCCUUUCCCCUUUUGGUCCUGGGACCCGAGACAGAAAAAGCCAGAUUAUCUGCCUCCCCCGCCCCCAAGAGAAACAGAGAGGAAUUCCUAGAUAGUGAUCGUGAUCACCGCCAUCACCACCGUCCCUUUUUUUUUUUCUUCUGGUCACAGAAGUCAUGUAGGGUCCAUGAAAAACCAGGAAAGUCUAAGAACUGGCCUACACCACAGAAGCCUGGAGAGCCGUGACAACUCAGUGCUGAGCAUGUGGUACCACGGAAGUGAGGAUGCAGAGGAAGAAGGAUGAAAGAAGGGGAGAAGAAUAUUCUUUGAGUACCAACUGUGUUCCAGGCACUGUUCUAGGUGCUGGGAGGUCAAUCGUUGUCCACAUGGAAGUUGCUGGGGGGAGGGGCUGCCUGACAAAAGCAAACCAAUAGAGAAGUACACGAUGAUUCCAGGCCACAUCCCCAUCCUAACCUGGUACUUCCUGUGACCACCAACAGGCUGGAAUUCUGGGCUCAUCCCGAGACCAGGGUUCAAGAAACUGGCUGCUCAGGUCCCCAGUGGUUUGCACACAUCUAGAUGAUGCACCAUGGUCAGACUGGGGUGGAGUGAAAAGGGAACCCUACUUGGAAAGAUUACAGUUCCUGUCUCCAGUCCCCAUGGUAUGACAGACUCCUGCACUUGACUGUGUAUUUGAAAUAAGGGUAGCAGCAUGAUUUUAAAGACAAAGAAGCAGAACCUAAGCUUAUAAUCCGAACAUGGCAGGUGGAUCGGCGUGCCCAGGAGGGGCCCUUGGCAGAAGUGAGAGCAGUGAGAAAGAUCUCUGAACACCUUCCUGCUCCCUCCCAUCUCGGCUUAAUGUGGCUCCAGGAGCUGAGCAGUGACAGAGACCUACCUAAUCACAUCUGUCCAGCACAUGAAGAGCUGUUUGCCAACAGAGCGAGAAGACAAGAUUUUAAUCUUCAUUUUUUAAAUCCUUAGGGAUAAAGCAAAUGACCCUGGAUUAAAAGCAGCAGGAAGGAUCUGGGCUCCAAAUCAGGAAGAAUUGCCAAACCGGCAGUGAGAACGCGGAACUUGGGCAUGACCCGGCAGGAGCGGUGGACAGGCCCCUACUGGGAAGUCCUGAGCACAAAGGCAAUUCCUGAGUCAGCUGGAUUUAUGGGCCGAGGCGGAGCCUAACCCUGGAGGGAUGGCCUACCACCGUUGCCGGGCCAGGCUUCGUGGAGAAGCAAAGGAGACGCUCACGCCUUCAGUAAGGAGGGCACACGGGGUCCCUAAGAGCUAGCCUUCUCCCCGCUUCUGUGGUCCUGAGCAGCCGCUGUGGUAUAAGUCACUCCAUGAUGUCUCCUGAGUUUCAGUGUGGCUGGCUUCUGGAUUGUGGCCACAUGUGUCUGGAGAACUAUGUUCCUGGUUCAAGUCCCAGAGAAAGGCAGGAAGGUGGGCGGACCCAGGUGGCUAAGGACGAGUUUGGGCUGGGCACAGGAUGGGGAGAUCAGGUGGUAAAUUACUCCGAGCUCUUGGCUGCAAACAACAGACCCCGCUGUGGCGAGUGUGAACAGAAAAGGCUUUCGGGAGCCCCUGAGAAUCGCUGUGAGGACGCCAGGCCAGGUUGGAGAGCUGGGACAAGGCAGAGCUGCUGUGAGGAGAUGUCACUGCCAUCCCGAUGGAGUGUGGGCCACGUGUGGCUGCUUGCAGGGCUGUUGCUGCCUAGGGCAGUGGGGGCUUCUGACACCCUCCCCCCAAACUGGCCCUCACUUCCCAACUCGUGAUCGGUGGACACCAGUCACACGUCUAUGCCCCUACUGCAAAGGAAGCCGGGAAGGUACGUUUCUGGUUUCUACUUUAGGGAGACAUAAACUCAAAAGGUAGAGGCAUCCCCAAAUAAGAAAAGUGUGUGUGGGUGGGCAAGUAGAAUGAUAAAUGUUCACACGUAAUCAGUGAUCUCACAUCACAUGAUUAAGGCAUCCCACCCCCCACCCCCCCUCGGGCGCCAACCGCACUGCCUUGAGAAAGUCCCCUGGGCCCUGACCCACUGCCUGGGUCCUCAGAUACUCACUCUGCACUCCUAAAGCUGGUCCUGAGUCCUUACCAGGAGCCUUCAUUCUCUGUGUAACUCAGAGGUAUGGCUUAAUUGUUGCUCGUAUGUUUGGUUGGAUCUUUGGGUUUUUUUAAGUUUAUUUAUUUUGAGAGAGAGAGAGAGAG